UUUCCUAAUACCGUGACAAAAAUAUUUCUCAUGUAUCGCAAUCUUUAUUAAACAGGUGUCCUGUGAGGUCAAGUUAUGGCAUGUUCAAAAACAUAAGGAAGAUUACUACCACUGGAUCGGCUGGAGUUUAUAUCGACAUGGAGGCCUUUGCGAUGGAAAACACAAACAACAUUGUUAUGACCUGUCAAAUGACAUCAUGUGGAGGGAACAUAUGUCCUACCAACAUUUGUUCCAGUGAUUCUAGCUUUCAAAACAUCGGAAGACGUCGUCGAGAGGCUGCCAGCAAUGAGACAGGCGAGGCCACAGCUUCAUACAGGAUUAGAGUGUCUUUCACCGACCAAUGUCCAGCCCAGAACACCUGCAGCAUGCAUGCAGCGUUCCUCCCUGUCGCUAUUGUGUUCGGUGUCCUGCUACUUGCGGCCAUCAUGGUAGCUGUCUACCUCUGCGUCAAGAUGUCGAAGACGUCCACACGUGAGAACAUGCCAGCCGAUUCCCCACCAACCUACUACAAUGCAGCAAUGAAAGCUUAAGUCCAUGAGAGAGAUACAUUUCUUUCUUCAAAGACUUAAAUGUCUGUGUUUUUGACUACUGCUUAAUUUACAGUUAACAUUUUUGGCUUGUAAUCUGCUUGAUAUAUUAGUGAUAACAAUGGAAGAUAAUCAUUAAUUUUUAAUAUGAUAUAUUUUAUUGCCAAAUGCAGUGUGUACGACAAGCAAUGUCCGAGAUGCAAUGUCGAUGUGUAUAUGAGAAUGCACGUGAGGAAGUGUUUAAACAUUUAAACAUUAAUGUGAAAUUUCGACUUACGAAUAUGAAUGACACACCUGCGAUUUAAACCUAAUUGUUAAGGUCAAAUGUAUGAUUUCGCCAGCUUUUGUUUUAUACAUGUAUUUGUCUAAACUGUGCACAUCUUUCGACCUGCUUUUAUUAAUACAUUUAGAGUAAGUUGAUGGGAAAUAAUAUUAAAAAUAUAUUUAGCAAUUGUCAUGGUUUUGUCAGAAAAUAUUUUUGUGGUUAAAAAAAAAAUAAAGCCUGCCAUUCAUUUUGGUUGUUAAUUCGUUUUAAAUUUUCAAAAAGUGUAGAUGCAUACAAUGUUUUGUAAUAACAACUUUUUAACCUCAUUUAUCUGUGUUUCAUCUCAUUUUUUCUUUCAUAGAAAGACAAGUUUUAGACGUACAUAUAUAUACACAGUUUUAUGUGAAUGUAUCUUAUUAAGAUUUAAGUGUUUACCCUUCGUGACUAUUCAAAACAUUUUCCAAUUGAAACAGGGUUUUUGAUUUCAUUAUCUGGACUGUAAUUUUUAUGAUUUUAAUACAUGUGACUUGUU